UACGUAGGGGGCAAGCGUUGUCCGGAAUCAUUGGGCGUAAAGAGCGUGUAGGCGGCCAGAUAAGUCCGCUGUGAAAACUCGAGGCUCAACUUCGAGCUGUCGGCGGAAACUAUCUGGCUAGAGUCCGGAAGAGGAGAGUGGAAUUCCUGGUGUAGCGGUGAAAUGCGCAGAUAUCAGGAAGAACACCCGUGGCGAAGGCGGCUCUCUGGGACGGUACUGACGCUGGGACGCGAAAGCGUGGGGAGCGAACAGG
rnacentral:rRNA from 1 species